GCGUGCUUAACACAUGCAAGUCGAACGGAAAGGCCCUGCUUUUGUGGGGUGCUCGAGUGGCGAACGGGUGAGUAACACGUGGGUAACCUGCCCUUGACUUUGGGAUAACUUCAGGAAACUGGGGCUAAUACCGGAUAGGAGCUCCUGCUGCAUGGUGGGGGUUGGAAAGUUUCGACGGUUGGGGAUGGACUCGCGGCUUAUCAGCUUGUUGGUGGGGUAGUGGCUUACCAAGGCUUUGACGGGUAGCCGGCCUGAGAGGGUGACCGGCCACAUUGGGACUGAGAUACGGCCCAGACUCCUACGGGAGGCAGCAGUGGGGAAUAUUGCACAAUGGGCGGAAGCCUGAUGCAGCAACGCCGCGUGCGGGAUGACGGCCUUCGGGUUGUAAACCGCUUUCGCCUGUGACGAAGCGUGAGUGACGGUAAUGGGUAAAGAAGCACCGGCUAACUACGUGCCAGCAGCCGCGGUGAUACGUAGGGUGCGAGCGUUGUCCGGAUUUAUUGGGCGUAAAGGGCUCGUAGGUGGUUGAUCGCGUCGGAAGUGUAAUCUUGGGGCUUAACCCUGAGCGUGCUUUCGAUACGGGUUGACUUGAGGAAGGUAGGGGAGAAUGGAAUUCCUGGUGGAGCGGUGGAAUGCGCAGAUAUCAGGAGGAACACCAGUGGCGAAGGCGGUUCUCUGGGCCUUUCCUGACGCUGAGGAGCGAAAGCGUGGGGAGCGAACAGGCUUAGAUACCCUGGUAGUCCACGCUGUAAACGGUGGGUACUAGGUGUGGGGUCCAUUCCACGGGUUCCGUGCCGUAGCUAACGCUUUAAGUACCCCGCCUGGGGAGUACGGCCGCAAGGCUAAAACUCAAAGGAAUUGACGGGGCCCCGCACAAGCGGCGGAGCAUGCGGAUUAAUUCGAUGCAACGCGUAGAACCUUACCUGGGUUUGACAUGGAUCGGGAGUGCUCAGAGAUGGGUGUGCCUCUUUUGGGGUCGGUUCACAGGUGGUGCAUGGCUGUCGUCAGCUCGUGUCGUGAGAUGUUGGGUUAAGUCCCGCAACGAGCGCAACCCUUGUUCACUGUUGCCAGCACGUUAUGGUGGGGACUCAGUGGAGACCGCCGGGGUCAACUCGGAGGAAGGUGGGGAUGACGUCAAGUCAUCAUGCCCCUUAUGUCCAGGGCUUCACGCAUGCUACAAUGGCUGGUACAGAGAGUGGCGAGCCUGUGAGGGUGAGCGAAUCUCGGAAAGCCGGUCUCAGUUCGGAUUGGGGUCUGCAACUCGACCUCAUGAAGUCGGAGUCGCUAGUAAUCGCAGAUCAGCAACGCUGCGGUGAAUACGUUCCCGGGGCUUGUACACACCGCCCGUCAAGUCAUGAAAGUUGGUAACACCCGAAGCCGGUGGCCUAACCGAAGUGGGGGAGCCGUCGAAGGUGGGACUGGUGAUU
rnacentral:rRNA from 1 species